ensembl:processed_transcript Gm9989 predicted gene 9989
GACACGCGGAGGGUGGGGAUGCUCGGUCUGCCUCAGAAACUCCCCCUCUCCAAACUUCUCAGCUUCCCAUGGGUGGCCUUGAACUCACGACAAGCACUGUUCAUCAAGCAUCAGAAAGAAGAGAUGACAGCAGGAAGAGUAGAACACACUUCCUUAAUCCUUCAAAAGUGAGCUUUUGAAGAAAGCCAGCUCCAUGGUUGACUUUCCUUCCGAUAUGACAUGUACCGUGGAAGGAAAAUAAAACCACAUACAGACAAA